GAUGAACGCUAGCGGCAGGCCUAACACAUGCAAGUCGAACGGUAACAGGAAAUAGCUUGCUAUUUUGCUGACGAGUGGCGCACGGGUGCGUAACGCGUAUACAAUCUACCUUUUACAGGGGGAUAGCCUUUAGAAAUGAAGAUCAAUACCCCAUAGUAUCUAGAAUUCGCAUGGGAUUUAGAUUAAAGAUUUAUCGGUAAAAGAUGAGUAUGCGUUCUAUUAGCUAGAUGGUGUGGUAACGGCACACCAUGGCUACGAUAGAUAGGGGCCCUGAGAGGGGGAUCCCCCACACUGGUACUGAGACACGGACCAGACUCCUACGGAGGCAGCAGUGAGGAAUAUUGGACAAUGGGCGCGAGCCUGAUCCAGCCAUGCCGCGUGCAGGAAGACUGCCCUAUGGGUUGUAAACUGCUUUUGUACAGGAAGAACCCCCCGAACGUGUUCGGGGCUGGACGGUACUGUAAGAAUAAGGAUCGGCUAACUCCGUGCCAGC
rnacentral:rRNA from 1 species